AAAGAAAACCAAAACAUCUUUUGGUUGUCAGAUAUCAAGUUUCUUUGUUGCCAGUAGCCCAAUGGAACGGUAGAAAUUUUGGAUUCUUGAGUUAUGGUGAGCAGAUUCAGUUCCAAGAACGGAUAAGAGAUGAAAUUCGAGGUAGGACACAAUUGGAUCUGAUCAAAGCCACAUCAUUAUAUACAAUGAGCUGCACGGAUGAUGCAUUACAUAUUCCUGGUGGAUAUAUACGAUUUAUCGCAAUAAUAACUUCGAGAAUAUCUCUACCAACUGUAUAGUGCAAUCACAGUACUCUAAAAUAAUAUGUAUUCAGUAUAUAGUUGAUAUACCUACAACACGAAGGACUAAUGUUCCCUCUGGACCUGAACGAUCUACUGUUGCUUCACGAAAUGUCGCAUCUCUUGAUGGACGAACAAAAACCAUAAUUGGUCACCAGGAACCUUAAAACUUUCAGCGGGUUUUCAACGAAAACCCGUUUUCAUCCAGUGAAUAAAUUAGUCGUUAGUAAAACUUAUUUAUCAAGAAAUGCAUGAAUGGUGUGUAUAUGCUAAUCGAAAGUUUUACCUAUUUCAUAGACAAAUAUAUAAUACUUAUAUUUUA